GCAAGGCUAAAACUAAAAGGAAUUGGCGGGGACCCACACAAGCGGUGGAGCAUCUGGUUUAAUUCGAUAUUAGCCGAAAAACCUUACCAUCCCUUGCAUGUUUGUAGCGGAGUUUCUUAAAGAGAGCUCUUCCUUCGGGAGGCAUUCACAGGUGAUGCAUGGUUGUCGUCACCUCGUGUCGUGAGAUGUUGGGUUAAGUCCCUUAACGAGCGAAACCCUCUUUCUUAUUUGCUAGCAGGUAAUGCUGAGAACUAUAAGAAGACUGCCCGUGAUAAACGGGAGGAAGGUGAGGAUGCUGUCAAACCAUCAUGUCCCUUAUGGGAUGGGCUACACCGGUGCUACAAUGGGGUGUACAAAGUGUUGCAAUGUCGCUAACACGGAGCCAAUCACUAAAGCACUCCUCAGUACGGAUUGAGGCUCUGCAAUU
rnacentral:rRNA from 1 species